GAAUUGUAGUUUAUAGAAGCGUUUUCGGUGGCAGCCUGGGUAUAAGUCCUUUGGAAUAGGGCAUCAUAGAGGGUGAGAAUCCCGUCUUUGACUCAGUGCAUGCUACUAUGUGAUACGUUUUCAAAGAGUCGAGUUGUUUGGGAAUGCAGCUCAAAAUGGGUGGUAAAUUUCAUCUAAAGCUAAAUAUUGGCGAGAGACCGAUAGCGAACAAGUACCGUGAGGGAAAGAUGAAAAGAACUUUGAAAAGAGAGUUAAACAGUGCGUGAAAUUGUUGAAAGGGAAACGCUUGACACCAGUUAUGCGGGUGGAAAAUCAGUCUUUUGCAAUGGGGAGUUGUGGGCGUUCAGACCGCAAGGCUGGCGUUUGCUUCAUCUUUGUUGUAAGUGAUGCACUUUUUCAUUUGCAGGUCAACAUCAGUUUGCUUUGCUGGACAAAACUCCAAGGGAAGGUGACAGCUUAGGCUGUGUUAUAGCCCUGGAGCGAUACAGUGGAGUGGACUGAGGUUUCGCAGUGUGUGCUUUUAGCAAGGCUGACUGGGUGCUAUGGGAUCGUUCGGCGUACAAUGCAUGCAUUUUGCGUCGUGUCUUUUUCAUACUCGCUCAACUCGGCUCUUCCACGCUUAGGAUGUUGACUUAAUGGUUUUAAUCGACCCGUCUUGAAACACGGACCAAGGAGUCUAACAUAUAUGCAAGUGUUUGGGUGGCAAACCCAUGCGCGUAAUGAAAGUGAACGUAGGUGCCAUCCGCAAGGUGCAGCAUCGACCGAUCUUGAUAUUUUUGGAUAGAUUUGAGUAAGAGCAUAUAUGCUGGGACCCGAAA
rnacentral:rRNA from 1 species